CAGGAAGGUUUAAGCUGUGCUAAGUCUGAGAGCAAAACCAGGCUUAACCCAUUCAGAGCACAGGGGAAAAGGGUCUGGCUGCAUGGAAACCCAGGUCUGAUUUCAUGUCAGCGGCAGUGCAGGGAGGCAGGAAGCCACUGCUCCACACCACAAAGCCAAGCUGCGAUCAUCCCAUUACUUUCCCUUUGGCUGUAGUUCUGUAGGCCUGAGAGAUGCCUGGGGUGGCUUAACCAUCAAGCCUGCCUGACUCCCCGAGUCUCCAUGGCACAGCAGCAUUGGCUCAGCCCUUCAUCCUUCCUUGAUGGAGAAAUUAAGUUCUGUGCAGAUCGAUGUGUUCUCUUGUGUAAGAUGGUUUAAAAAAACCCACUGAGGCUGCAGCCUUAGCAAUGAUGGGCUUGUAUGGGUUUUUUGGUUGUUAAGCAAUUCUAUGUACGUUUUGUGAAGUCAGGGGUGUUUUCUGGUGGCUCUGGGCAGAAAUUCCUCUGCAAUCUCUCCUCCCAGACACCCGUCUCUUAGUGCAGGAUGACAGAUGGCUGUCCUCUUCCAAAGACAGCUGCAUUUAACUAGCGCACCACACAGUUUACAAAGCGUUUUGCAAUGACAGGUGUAACACGAUGCAGCGUACUCUAUUUAAGCGUGUAGCCUCAGGACUGAAAAAAGCCUAAAGCAUACUUAUUAGCUGUAAAAACAAGCUUUUUAUAGUCAUGUUACUUUGUUUCAGAGGGCCUUAUGCCUUAAAAUUGAUAGGACUUGGCCGUUGGAGGCUGCCCUACAAACCUUGAUGGGUCCUUGUCGGUUUUGCCAAGUAUACAGUUAAAAGGAGUGUGAUUACAUUUCCAAGGGGACAGCAGGACCAAAGAGCUCCUAUGUCCUUAAGUGGUUUAAGCACUUAACUGGCAGACUGUUGCUAUGUAAACAUUAGGCAAAAAACUGGGGCUAGGCUUCUGUUAUGCAGUUAAGCAAAUGAUGUCACUGAUCCAAUAUACUUGUAAGUGGGGUAGACUAGUGCAUUUUAUCCCCAGUACUAAAUCCAUCACCUACAAGCAUGAAGCACAGAGAGGCCCCAGUUUCACAGUUGAUUUCAGUUGCUCCUGAGAAUCCUCUCAGUUCCCCAAAGCACUUGCACUCACUUCUGCUGUAUGCAAAAUGGAGAUAAACAGAUUUGAAGGUCAGAAGACAUCUAGGUUCAUCUAGCCUAAGCCCCUCCUAUGUAACAGGCCAAAGCACAUCAAGUAGUGACUUCUGCUUCAGAUCAAAGCUUCCAUUUAAGCUCCAACCUGCAUUUUAGGAUGAUGUCUAGUCCUGCCUUCAAGACAACAAGCGUUGGAGAAUCCAGUGCAUCUGCAGAUUUGGGUUCAUGUUUGCAUCCUGCAGUGAAAUGCAGAAAGGAAGGGGUCUGAAACUUUCUGAAUAGUACAAAAUAAAUUGAAAGGGUGCAAAUUUUGGCAACCCAAGAUAAGGAAACAACAACUGGUCAAAAUUUGAAACGGUGACUAUUUUUCUUGAAAUGUUGGAAUCUGGAAUACUGUGAAGGAAGACAGCUUUAGAAGACACUCCAGCUCUUUUGUGAGCUCUACAGCAAGUAGCUCUUUUUCCUGAAAGCUUGACCUCUUGAAUGUUGGGUAUAACCUUUGCAAAAUAUUCUUCUGGUUUUUGUUUUUCUUUCUUUCUGAAUCAUGACAAUUCACCUAAUAAGUCCAGUGCUUGCUAUGUAAUUGUGUUCCAUCCUUAUUUUUAAGUGAAGAUACAGGAAUGGAAAAAAGCUGGUAUUUCUGCCUUCCAUCUUUCCUGUUGUUCUGUUUGUGCUACUGACUUCCAGCAAGUGGUGAAGCUAAUUUCUUGUCUCUCUUUCCUAUGGAGCCUUGAACAUGAGUUACAACAGCUGAGCCUAAGUACCAGUGAAUUGAAGCCAAAACCAAAGUCAGGAGUGAAAUGCAGCUCACUAGUUGCUCGCUUCCCCAUGGGAUGCAUGCAGCCCUUCCAUGCUCAAGCCAGACUUUGCACGGUGUUUCUCGGGUAAGCCCGCAACAAUACAUGGGGACUGAACCCAGGUUGCAUCUGCCAUCAAACUCAUCAUCUGAUGUUUGAUUAACCGGCCCGUUUCGGAUGCUUGGACCUUCUUGUCCAAUAUGUCCCUUGGUCAGUGGGGUGAUUUUCAGAUGGGAGGCAAUACUGGGAAGUCCCAGCAGAUGGCAACAGGUCCUUGGGUGAUGUGUAGGCAUCACCUAGACUC